GAAAGAAAAGAAAGAAGAAGAAGAAGAAGAAGAAGGGAGGAGGAAGAAGAGGAGAGGGGGGACGUCGGCUUCCAUGGGGGACGGGCGCUAGAGGCCCCGCCGAGGGUGGCAUCGACGUCGGAAGGUGCGGCCGUCAACAGCGAGCACGCUAGGGGCGGCGACGGCGGCGAAUGGCGACGACAGGCAGCGUAGAAUGGCUAGUAAUGGCAGCCGGUUUCUUGCCGCCAUUCAUGGCGUUUCCGGCAUCCAUUGCUGGUGAUUUUGGACUCAAAAUGAUUAGCAGCUUCGAGGCUUUCUUUUCCGACCAUCGCCACCCUUUGAGGCUGCCGGAAUUGCAAGAUCCGGCGAAGUGAAAAGUUAGGGGCAGCCGGCAUUUUCUAGCUUUUCCUAUGAGCUCCGGCGAGCUUUGGUUGAUCUGAGGGCAUAUCCGGACUCUCCUCAGCUCAAGCUUUUCGAUGGUACCGGUUUUGUGGCGAUCGGACUCCGUUUGAAAAUCGACGGUCGAGAUCGUCUGAAAAUCUCUCCAGAUGAUCAAGGUUCGGAUCGGAAGAUCGGAAGCGGGGAUCGUCAUCAGUGUGUCGUUUCGAGUAAGUUGGUGCGUUCGGAUUGUCGAUCGGACUCCAGCGGCUGGAGGCGAGUCGAUCGAGCGGUCAAGCGUCUCGGUCCUGGACCCGUUUUACGAGGGGUAAAUGUCCAUAUUUUAGGGGAGGUUCUGCCGAAUUUUCGGUAAAAUUUACCAGAGUCGAGAUUUUUGGAUAGUCAGUCCUAGGGAUCUAAACCUAGGGUUAAUUGUCAAAUGAUUCAACGUUAUUGAUCAAUUGUUUUCCGUGAGUAGAUAAUCUGUCAGUUCGGCUCACUCAACCCGAAACAUCAGAGCAGAGCUAGGAAGUCGUCAAAGCUAUCUGUGAUUGUUAGUUCUCCCGCGGCUCUUAUCUAGUAACCCAACUCCCUCGUUGUCGGGUGAUGUAUUUGAUUUGGUAUGUUUCACUUGUAAAAUUUUAGAUUCUCCGCAGUAGAAGUAAUAGACUUAUCAGUUGUAAUUUUAUGUAGUUUCGCGUCUUGCCUAAUUCUUCUGGCAGACCGAAUUUAAUGGUUAAGAAAUUGUGACAUCAGCGUUAUUAGAGGAGAUUUAAUUAAGUUAGUGAGUGGUCAGGUUUACUAUAGGAUUCGGUGGCCUUACGCCUAUCCAUUCUCUAGUGCCGGUCACGGGCCCACAGAUCGGGUCGUGACACCCAGACAGUUGAUAAUUUCAUUCUUCAAAUUGGGAUUGAUGUGGUUACUGAAAAAGGCAUUAGAUUUUCGGAGAUUAAGACUUUGACCCGAGGCAUUCCUAAUAUAGUCUCAGAAUAUCAAGAAAGUUUUUAGCUUCCUCAACCGAGGCAACCCCAUACAAAAUUGUCUCCUUAGCGAACAAAGAACUGGCAAUGGGCAAUACUUGUUCAACUCAAUCCCUUUAAUCUUAUCAUCAUUCGCAAAGGCUUGGAUUGUCUUGGAAAGAGCUUCAAAAACUAGAAGCAAAAGGUACGACGAUAAAGGAUAGCCUUGUCUUAAACCACGACCAAGAUUGAAGCUCUAUUUGGCAUAAAAGUUGGUCUUAAACCACGACCAACUUCAAGGCGUUGAUCAAAUGUUGUAAAUACAGGGGCAUCUAACAAUUUUAUUCUAAUGUAAUUAUGUACAACCAUUGAUGUCACAUUAAUAUCUCUUUCUCCGAACUCCAAAAUGUGCGCUCAAUACAAUUAAUAAGGCACGUAUCUCUUAUCA